AGAGAGAGACAUGCGCGCAUAUCAAUAAGCGGAGGAAAAGAAACUAACAAGGAUUCCCUUAGUAACGGCGAGUGAAGCGGGAAGAGCUCAAAUUUGAAAUCUUCAAGGUUCUACCUUGACGAAUUGUAGUUUAUAGAAGUGUUUUCUGUUAGUGGAGUGGCAAAAGUUCUUUGGAAUAGGACAUCAUAGAGGGUGAGAAUCCCGUAUUUGGUCAUUCCUCCUAGCGUUGUGAUACACUUUCAACGAGUCGGAUUGUUUGGGAAUGCAGUCCAAAAUGGGUGGUAAAUUUCAUCUAAAGCUAAAUAUUGGCGAGAGACCGAUAGCGAACAAGUACCGUGAGAGAAAGAUGAAAAGAACUUUGAAAAGAGAGUUAAACAGUACGUGAAAUUGUCAAAAGGGAAGCGUUUGACACCAGUGUUGUUUUUCCGAAAAUCAAUUACGAAUGUUUUAUUUUUGAGGAGUUAUGACUUCAUCGGCUUGCUCCUUUCUUUAUGAAACUUUCUUAAUGCACUUUUCGGUUAACAAGUCAACAUCAAUUUCUUUUGUUGUAAAAGGGUAUGAGGAAGGUGGCUUUCUUUUCGGAGAAAGUGUUUAUAGCCUUGUGCCUCUGCAAUCGGAGAGAUUGAGGUCUGCAGCGUAGAUCCUUCGGGGUUAGAUACGUUUGUGCUAAGUUAUAGCUUUUCAUAGACAACUUGUUGACUAUGUUUAGUCUUGUAGCUUACUCGCUGACGCUAUUUUACCUACGCUUAGGAUGUUGAUAGUCACAGCGUGUAC
rnacentral:rRNA from 1 species